UACAGAGGGUGCAAGCGUUGUCCGGAAUUACUGGGCGUAAAGGGCGCGUAGGCGGUUCGAUAAGUAGGGGGUGAAAUCUCGCGGCUCAACCGCGAAACUGCCUUCUAGACUGUCGGACUUGAGCACGGUAGAGGCAGAUGGAAUUCCCGGUGUAGCGGUGGAAUGCGUAGAGAUCGGGAAGAACACCAGUGGCGAAGGCGGUCUGCUGGGCCGUUGCUGACGCUGAGGCGCGACAGCGUGGGGAGCAAACAGG
rnacentral:rRNA from 1 species